GGUCAGCCGCAGUGAAUAGGCCCAAGCGACUGUUUAUCAAAAACACAGGUCUCUGCAAAAUCGUAAGAUGAAGUAUAGGGGCUGACGCCUGCCCGGUGCUGGAAGGUUAAGAGGAUGGGUUAGCUUCGGCGAAGCUCAGAAUUGAAGCCCCAGUAAACGGCGGCCGUAACUAUAACGGUCCUAAGGUAGCGAAAUUCCUUGUCGGGUAAGUUCCGACCCGCACGAAAGGCGUAACGAUUUGGGCACUGUCUCAACGAGAGACUCGGUGAAAUUUUAGUACCUGUGAAGAUGCAGGUUACCCGCGACAGGACGGAAAGACCCCAUGGAGCUUUACUGUA
rnacentral:rRNA from 1 species